rnacentral:lncRNA from 1 species
CUGCCGCUCCAUGCGGGGGGAAAGGGGGGAAGGCAAGCGCUGGGGACCCUGAACCCCGCCUUGGCUCCCGGGGACGAGGCGGACGAGGAGGAGGUGGAGGACACGGAGGAGGAGCCGCUGUCUUUGCGGGAGUCGCCACCGCCGGAGCCCUUGGAGUAGGGCUUGAAGCUGGAUUUGUCCUCGGCCGGGGCGUCUCCCAGCUGCUUGAGCGCGGCGGACGCGGAGCCGGCGCCUGGGGCCGAGCGGCCGGGGUCCUUGUCUGCUCCCAGUCCGUUGGCCGCGGCCGCUACGGAGUUGAGCUUGGACGAGGGCGGCGGGUCGGGCUUGCCGAUCUGCGAGCAGGUCUGGGCCAGCAGCGCCAAUGGACUCUUCUUGGCGUCCAGCUGUGGGCGACAGAGGCAAGGGGAGAGGCGAGGGGGUGAGAUUCGGAGGCCGGCGGGGCGGGCGCGGGGGGGGGGGCGAGGAGGGCCUCGGGACGACCACUGUGGACAGAGGGCGAGGGCCGGGCCCGGGCUCGGGCCCGGGCGGGGCAGCACGGAAAGCACCCCGCUUUUACGGCCAGGCGAUACCGGCGUGCGUCACGGGCCCGGGGAACGGGGCAGUGGAAGGGGAUCGCCAAGGGCCGCCGCGGGAGAAGGUGGUGGCUUAACGCACUGGGCCACAGUGCCGCCCCGCGCGUGUUCCCAGCAGCUCCCGCUCAUCAGCGGCUUCACUGAUUUGAGUGACUUGCAGCCAGCCUUGGAACUGUGUCAUCUCACGCCAUCACAGCAAGAAGAAGGGUGAGUACCGUACAGAAAGAACUUUCCAGAGAGACGGCGAGAGGCAUCGCACUCUCAGAAUUUGUAUCACAGUGUGCUCCAAUUGUUCUAUUUUUGGUUGCUGUUGCCACUUUCUCACUGUCUAAUUUAUAAGUUAAACUUUAUCGUAGAUUAUAUAUGAACAUGCUUUUAAAAAUUCAUGGAAAAUGGAGUGAAAAGAUAAAUUCGUCUUCGUGCAAAAAAUUUGGAAUCUAUAGUUUUUCAUGUCACACAUUUUCCCAUGAACUUUGUGAAGUCCCCUUGUAUCCUUGUAUUGAUAGGAAAAAGCAUGCUAUUUGUAGAGUACUGUCUGUGGGUUCAGGCAUUCCCUCGUGAUCUUGAAACAUAUCCCCCUUGGAUAAGGGGGCGAGGCGCCCCACCCCACAUCUUGGCUUUGCAUUUGGGGAUGGUUUGUCCUGGGGGCUCGGCUAUAGGUUUGGUCUUUCAGUUGCCUGGGAGCCCCAGGUGCUAACAGGUGCAUGCCUGCUGGAGGGAGCAAGGGCCCCCGACGCUGCAGAGGGGAUCUGCUGAGCCAGGAGAGAGCCGGGCUGAACAGACAGAAGCAGGAAGGGCUGGCGCCCAGCUGGUGGGUCAGGGUGUUGCUCACCCCCUCCCACAAGUGCAGAAAAUGCCCUGAGUUACUUCAAUUACAUGGAUGAGUGGGGAGAGCCAAGGGCACAACUCUCACAGCCACCUGCUCACGCUGAAUGCGGCUGAUCUCCCCCACCCCGCCCCAGUCUGCUUCAGCAGGCACUGCUGACCUUGGGCGGCGUGUGGCUAACGCAGGUGUUAACCUUAAUGCCAUUCACUUGGGCCUGUCAUUAGCGCCCAUGCCUGUGACAGGUGUUUGUUGUGGCCCUGGCAGGGAGGUCAGCCCCUUGGAGUUCCCCAAUCUAAAGGCGACACUUGAGGGCUGGUAAAGAGCCAGGCUCAAGCUGGGGUCAGGGCGGGCUACUGGGAGUGCUCAGAGCUGGGAAGAAGUCUCU